GACGAACGCUGGCGGCGUGCUUAACACAUGCAAGUCGAACGGAAAGGCCCUGCUUUUGUGGGGUGCUCGAGUGGCGAACGGGUGAGUAACACGUGAGUAACCUGCCCUUGACUUUGGGAUAACUUCAGGAAACUGGGGCUAAUACCGGAUAGGAGCUCCUGCUGCAUGGUGGGGGUUGGAAAGUUUCGGCGGUUGGGGAUGGACGCGCGGCUUAUCAGCUUGUUGGUGGGGUAGGGGUUUACCAAGUGUUUGACGGGUAGCCGGCCUGAGAGGGUGACCGGCCACAUUGGUACUGAGAUACGGCCCAGACUCCUACGGGAGGCAGCAGUGGGGAAUAUUGCACAAUGGGCGGAAGCCUGAUGCAGCAACGCCGCGUGCGGGAUGCCGGCCUUCGGGUUGUAAACCGCUUUCGCCUGUGACGAAGCGUGAGUGACGGUAAUGGGUAAAGAAGCACCGGCUAACUACGUG
rnacentral:rRNA from 1 species